AUAUAAUUUAAGGUUUCAGGUGUCGAUCGAUUGGCGACGACCGCACCUCUAAGGAAAGAAGCUAAGCUCCCAUAGCAACAGUGUCAAACGGGAUUCAUCACCACGCGCCGAAUCUGGUUUGAAAAUGAAUCUUAUUUUGCGGAACUGCUUAUGCGGUAAAAAUUGAACCUGCUGUGAAGGAAAAUCAUGCACUAAAAUCGAAGGCUGAAAUACCGGUGUUACUUCAAGAUAAUGUCAUUGCUACUUUGGUAAACGAAAAUUUUUCCUUAAAAAAUGCUCCAGUCAAACAGAAACGGAAGUUUUCCGAAAGCUAUGCUCCACCCAAAAAGAGAGGAAAGUUUCCCGAGAGCGAUACUUCAACCAGAAAGAAAGGAAAUCCUUCUGAAAAUGAUACUUCAGAGGAGAAUAAACUCACACGCGCCAAAAGCAAGUGUCAAGAACUACGAGAAAAUAGUGAAGAAAACCUUCGGACCGAAGGAAGUUUUCAUUAUGACUAUAGAGAAGAGUUUCCAAGGAAAACCAAACGAAUGAAACUUACUGAAGUAUGUGUGGCUACAUUUCUUCGAAUUUUACUUUUAUGCAUUUUUAUCGGCUACUUUUGUGCCUUCUACUUCAUUUACAUUGAAGAUAUUAGAGAUGUCAGUAUACACGAAAGAAGUAUGGUCAUAAUUUGUAUAAUAAUAUCCUUAAUUUUUGUGAUUAUUUCGAUAUGGAAGUCUUACCGUGAAGUGAUGAUGGAGUUUCCGAAUGAUCGAACUGUAAAGAGAUAUAAAAAUAUUAUAAUAGUGUAGUUAAAAUGGCAUCCAAAUCUAUUAUUUUAACAUUUUUUUAAUAAAAUUUCCCAUUCUGUGUUUC
rnacentral:misc_RNA from 1 species